UACGUAGGCAGCAAGCGUUGUUCGGAGUUACUGGGCGUAAAGGGUGUGUAGGCGGUUCCUUAAGUUUGCUGUGAAAUCUCCCGGCUUAAACCGGGAGGGUGCGGUGAAUACUGAGGGACUAGAGUACGGGAGAGGAAAGUGGAAUUCCUGGUGUAGCGGUGAAAUGCGUAGAGAGUACUGAAGGAAGACCAGUGGCGAAGGCGGGUCUCUGGACAGUUCC
rnacentral:rRNA from 1 species